UUGGUGACUUGUGAUCCUGUUGGUGACUUGGUUCUACAGAUUGGGUUGUCUCAGAUGACUUUGGGUUUCAGAUGGAUUGUGGUUCCGAGUUCAAGCCGAAGCUUUGAUCCUGUGUUCCAACUUUGGGUUUCAGAUGGAUUGUGGUUCCGAGUUCAAGCCGAAGCUUUGAUCCUGUGUUCCGAGAUGCACAGCCAGCCAGUCUUGUCUGCAUCAUUUGCAUCAUAGCAUGUUUAUUUUCAAAAAAA
rnacentral:lncRNA from 1 species